rnacentral:rRNA from 1 species
GACGAACGCUGGCGGCGUGCUUAACACAUGCAAGUCGAACGGAAAGGCCCAGCUUGCUGGGUACUCGAGUGGCGAACGGGUGAGUAACACGUGGGUGAUCUGCCCUGCACUCUGGGAUAAGCCUGGGAAACUGGGUCUAAUACCGGAUAUGACCAACUGUCGCAUGGUGGUUGGUGGAAAGCUUUUGCGGUGUGGGAUGGGCCCGCGGCCUAUCAGCUUGUUGGUGGGGUAAUGGCCUACCAAGGCGACGACGGGUAGCCGACCUGAGAGGGGGAUCGGCCACACUGGGACUGAGACACGGCCCAGACUCCUACGGGAGGCAGCAGUGGGGAAUAUUGCACAAUGGGCGCAAGCCUGAUGCAGCGACGCCGCGUGAGGGAUGACGGCCUUCGGGUUGUAAACCUCUUUCACCAGGGACGAAGCGUGAGUGACGGUACCUGGAGAAGAAGCACCGGCCAACUACGUGCCAGCCGCCGCAGUAAAAC